rnacentral:rRNA from 1 species
UACGUAGGGUGCGAGCGUUGUCCGGAAUUAUUGGGCGUAAAGAGCUCGUAGGCGGUUUGUCGCGUCGGCCGUGAAAUCUCCACGCUUAACGUGGAGCGUGCGGUCGAUACGGGCAGACUAGAGGUAUGCAGGGGAGAACGGAAUUCCUGGUGUAGCGGUGAAAUGCGCAGAUAUCAGGAGGAACACCGGUGGCGAAGGCGGCUCUCUGGACGGUGACUGACGCUGAGACGCGAAAGCGUGGGGAGCAAACAGG